CCCAGACUCCUACGGGAGGCAGCAGUGGGGAAUAUUGGGCAAUGGGCGCAAGCCUGACCCAGCAACGCCGCGUGAAGGAAGAAGGCUUUCGGGUUGUAAACUUCUUUUCUCAGGGACGAAGCAAGUGACGGUACCUGAGGAAUAAGCCACGGCUAACUACGUGCCAGCAGCCGCGGUAAUACGUAGGCGGCAAGCGUUAUCCGGAUUUACUGGGUGUAAAGGGCGUGUAGGCGGGAAAGCAAGUCAGAGGAGAAAUCCAUGGGCUCAACCUGUGGCCUGCAUUUGAAGCUGUUUUUCUUGAGUACUGGAGAGGCAGACGGAAUUCCUGGUGUAGCGGUGAAAUGCGUAGAUAUUAGGAGGAACACCAGUGGCGAAGGCGGUCUGCGGGACAGCAACUGACGCUGAGGCGCGAAAGCGUGGGGAGCAACCAGGAUUAGAUACCCGAGUACA
rnacentral:rRNA from 1 species